rnacentral:rRNA from 1 species
GACGAACGCUGGCGGCGUGCUUAACACAUGCAAGUUGAACGAUGAAGCCGGAGCUUGCUCUGGUGAAUUAGUGGCGAACGGGUGAGUAACACGUGAGUAACCUGCCCUUGACUCUGGGAUAACUGCGGGAAACUGUAGCUAAUACCGGAUACGACCAUCGGAGGCAUCUCCUGGGGGUGGAAAGAAUUUCGGUCAAGGAUGGACUCGCGGCCUAUCAGCUAGUUGGUGAGGUAAAGGCUCACCAAGGCGACGACGGGUAGCCGGCCUGAGAGGGUGACCGGCCACACUGGGACUGAGACACGGCCCAGACUCCUACGGGAGGCAGCAGUGGGGAAUAUUGCACAAUGGGCGCAAGCCUGAUGCAGCAACGCCGCGUGAGGGAUGACGGCCUUCGGGUUGUAAACCUCUUUUAGUAGGGAAGAAGCGAAAGUGACGGUACCUGCAGAAAAAGCACCGGCUAACUACGUGCCAGCCGCCGCCGUAA